ensembl:lncRNA
GACAUGAAUAAAUCAGCAACGACAACAAAAAAACAAGACAAAGAACAAAUACAAAACCCACAAAGAUCUUCCUCCCUACAAGCUGUAGUAAUUGACGUCAACUAGUUAGCAAGGCUGAAGCAGGUGCUAUAUACUGUGCUACUAGAAGAAGACAGAUUGGUACCUAUGCUAAAAGAUAGAAAAGCUUAGACAACGUCCAGAAGACCACGUAGGCUUUAUAUGUGCACAGAAUCACACGUUUGGAACAAUUUGGAUGAUUCCCAAGAAGAAGAUAGUAGUGGAUGUGGGAAUCUUUAGGUAAAUACAUCCCAGAUGAAAAGCUUAGUCAACUUGGAGCAGCUGCUUCAGGCAGUAUUUAGACCAAAGAGUUGAAUUGUGAUGGCCUGUCUGUGAUUUUUACCAACUAUAGUAUACUGUGCUUCUCACAUUUGAAUGCCUAAGAAUCCCCUGAAGACCUCAUUAAAAC